ACAGAGGGGGCAAGCGUUGUUCGGAAUUACUGGGCGUAAAGGGCGCGUAGGCGGCCUUCUAAGUCAGACGUGAAAUCCCCGGGCUCAACCCGGGAACUGCGUCUGAUACUGGAAGGCUUGAAUCCGGGAGAGGGAUGUGGAAUUCCAGGUGUAGCGGUGAAAUGCGUAGAUAUCGGGAGGAACACCUGUGGCGAAAGCGGCGCACUGGACCACAACUGACGCUGAGGCGCGAAAGCUAGGGGAGCAAACAGGA
rnacentral:rRNA from 1 species